AAGCAUAAUGUCUGGUUUUCAUGCCAUUGUAUGAGAUGUGCCUCCCUCAAACCUAAUUAAGAUGUUAACAUAUGAUCUUUGUGAU
rnacentral:snoRNA from 1 species